UAAGUGAUACAACUAGUCCUUUAAAUUGUCAUACUCAUAGAACGUAUCAGCAAAAUAAAUAGUUAUUUUAUAGAGAAUUAGGAUAACAUACUCUUUUACCUCCUUUCGUUUUCUCCACCGUCUGUCUUCAAAUUAGUUAGUCUUCUUCUGGUUUUACGGCGGCUGGCAACCAACUAAAAGGCACAUCACCGCCACCUACUGGUCAGGGGUCAGAAGGUAGAUAUCAAACCACCAUGACACGUCAAACCCCCAUGACAUCCGCCAUGUUUUCCUGCAGCUGGAUACUCUUGGUUAAUGUAGUUAGUUUAAAAAAAAAAAAGAAGUAACACUAGAACCGAAUUGUGGACUCAAAUCCAUAAAACGUAUUUUUCAGCUUUAUUAUUAUAUUUUUUAAUCUCCAAACAAAUUUUUCACGGUUCGUGAUACUGUAACCAUUCUAAUGUUCAAUAAAGUUGGACCGUUUUGAAGUCUCUGACGUCAUUGCUCUUCGAUCCCGCCUCUGCCAGCGCUCUGCUGCCCCCUGGAGAUCAAUCCGCAGAACGUGAAGUUAGCAGUUGUGGAGCGCUGCUUUUCAUUCUUUCAACUUCUGCAGAAACCAUGAACCGUCAGAAGAAAAGUCUUUUACACCCAUCGCGCCCCGGUCUUCCUCAGAGAGCGGUGCCCGGAUUCAACCCGCUGCCGCCCAUGAGAGUUCCGCCGCAGUUCAUCGAGGCCAUGAGGCGCAUCGCCGGGAACGACUCUGCAAACCCAGAGCCGAAUCGGGGAGAGCCCACGGGAGCUGCAGAACAGCAGUCAGUCAACAAGUGGAAGUCCUCCUUCAAACUUGUGGGUGAUCAGGAGGACAGUCCUCAGGAGAAAACCACUAGCGGUGCAGAGAGGACUGAACUUUAUGAUCCCAGUAGUCCUCUGUCAUCAGACUCUGAGCCUGAGGUGUUGCAGGCCCCACCCCCCACCUGUUCCCCACUCAGUCUGGGGGUCAUCCUGCCCCGUCAGCCCUUGUCUCCAGAGAGACAGCGUCAUGACAGCAGGCGGUGGGAAAAUGAAAGCCGACUUCUUGACAGACAGGACCUUGUCCCAGGAAGCAGACCCUCUGAGAACAGAAGGCUCAGUCCUGGUUACAGACUGGCUCAAAGACGGGCCUACAGCCCAGAUGGGGGUCCUCUCCGAUGCCAGGGCUUUGGCUUCAACAGGGAUUCGUUGGACCAACAGAACCACAGUCCUCUUGACAGACUGGUUCAUGCCCCCCCCCACACCAGCCAGGGGCUCCUGCGGGAGGACAAGGAGAGGAGGGGAGGACUCUGCCUGAACACAGGAGAGAGGCAGCAGCUCCACCCAGAACGUCUCCACCCAGAUUUAAGAGAGAUUAUCAACAUCUCAGACCUUUGGAAACAGUGGAAAUGGAUCAGGACUUGCCUUGGACAAAAAUGA
rnacentral:lncRNA from 1 species